UGUCUUUGAUGAAACAAUCACUAUUGUACUCUCUUUCUUAACAGAAAUGUGUUUUUUCGAAGACUCACUUCUAAUUGGUUCAUUAAGCAAAGAAUUAUUUUGCCCAAUUCCUUUGCUUUUCUGCUUUACAGUUCCAGAAAUGACGUCUGCUGAAGGAGAACACGUUCUAGCAAUGAAAUCUUCCAAAGACUCCUGCCGCUGCUCUGUGACUGCGACCCCCAGGUUGUCUUUGGAAGUUUCUAAGGCCUCCUGAGUAGA